CCGUAGCCUGGUAGCGGGGGAUAACUAUUGGGAACGAUAGCUAAUACCGCAUAAUAGUAGAUGUUGCAUGACAUUUGCUUAAAAGGUGCAAUUGCAUCACUACCAGAUGGACCUGCGUUGUAUUAGCUAGUUGGUGAGGUAACGGCUCACCAAGGCGACGAUACAUAGCCGACCUGAGAGGGUGAUCGGCCACACUGGGACUGAGACACGGCCCAG
rnacentral:rRNA from 1 species